rnacentral:rRNA from 1 species
GUAGGUGGCAAGCGUNGUCCGGAUUUACUGGGUGUAAAGGGCGUGUAGGCGGAGAUGCAAGUCAGAAGUGAAAUCCAUGGGCUUAACCCAUGAACUGCUUUUGAAACUGUAUCCCUNGAGUAUCGGAGAGGCAGGCGGAAUUCCUAGUGUAGCGGUGAAAUGCGUAGAUAUUAGGAGGAACACCAGUGGCGAAGGCGGCCUGCUGGACGACAACUGACGCUGAGGCGCGAAAGCGUGGGGAGCAAACAGGAUUAGAUACCCUGGUAGUCCACGCUGUAAACGAUGAAUACUAGGUGUGGGGGGACUGACCCCCUCCGUGCCGCAGUUAACACAAUAAGUAUUCCACCUGGGGAGU